GACGAACGCUGGCGGCGUGCUUAACACAUGCAAGUCGAACGGUGAACCCCUUCGUUGGGGGUCAGCUGGGAACGGGAGCGUAACACGUAGACAACCUUCCCCUGCCCCUGGGUUAACUCCAAGAUAUGGGGGCUAAUACCGGUACCUCAUCGCUUCUCCCACUGCAGGUGGUGGGAAGGGUUGCUGCGUGGGUUGGGGAUGGCCGCGCGGCUGAUCGGCUUGUUGGUGGGGUAGUGGCUUACCAAGGCGUUGACGGGUAGCCGGCCUGAGAGGGUGACCGGCCACACUGGGACUGAGACACGGCCCAGACUCCUACGGGAGGCAGCAGUGGGGAAUAUUGCGCAAUGGGCGGAAGCCUGACGCAGCGACGCCGCGUGGGGGAUGACGGCCUUCGGGUUGUAAACCGCUUUCGGCAGUGACGAAGCGCGAGUGACGGUACCUGCAGAAGAAGCACCGGCCAACUACGUG
rnacentral:rRNA from 1 species